GCAGCGUCAUAGAGGGUGAGAAUCCCGUCCUUGACAUGGACUACCAAUGCUUUGUGAUACGUUUUCAACGAGUCGAGUUGUUUGGGAAUGCAGCUCAAAAUGGGUGGUAAAUUCCAUCUAAAGCUAAAUAUUGGCGAGAGACCGAUAGCGAACAAGUACCGUGAGGGAAAGAUGAAAAGCACUUUGGAAAGAGAGUUAAACAGUAUGUGAAAUUGUUGAAAGGGAAACGAUUGAAGUCAGUCGUGGGUCUUGCAUUCAGCUGGUUCUGCCAGUGUACUUGCUUGACCUGGGGUCAACAUCGGUUUUGGCUGUCGGAAAAGGUUGGGGGGAAUGUAGCACUCUCGGGUGAACUUAUAGCCCUUUAACGUAUACGAUGGCUGGGACCGAGGAACGCAGCUUGCCUUUAUGGCCGGGGUUCGCCCACGUACAAGCUUAGGAUGUUGACAUAAUGGCUUUAAACGACCCGUCUUG
rnacentral:rRNA from 1 species